ensembl:processed_transcript Gm12299 predicted gene 12299
AGGAAGAAGAGUUUCUCCUUGGUCUGAGAGCACCUGAAAGGGUUGUGAGGGACCAGGUACACCUCACCUGGGUGGUCUCUUAAACUAACUAAGGAUUCCUUCUGAUCCCUGUCAAGCGGAUGAACUCAGAUGCCCAGCUUCUCCAGGAAAGAAACAGUCACUCUCAGUCCUGCCAAGAUCAGGAUGGAGGAAAGUGGAUAUGCAACAGGAUGGUAGUGAGAUAGUGACAUAUUGAGAGAGUUUUGUAGUAGGGGUGGGGGAGAUGUAGGAAUGGAGGAUAGUUCUGUGCUGUGUCCUCCUGAGGGAAAUGGAGGAAUACUUUCCGUCCUCCUCUGAACCACUGACACCAGAGCUUCUAAACUGGAGCUGACGUGAAUUCCUUCACUUCUUGGAUACAUUUGGCCAUAUCUGAAGACCGUUUUGACUAUCAUGCGUUGGAGAUCUCUAACCAGCAUCAGGUGACUAGAGAUGCUCUUUAAGCAACCUUUACAACACACAGAAGAGCAAAACAAAACAAACUGCCCAACCCCGAAUGUCAUCAGUGCUGAGAAACCUGGCCUAAGAGUGACUGCGGCUUAUGGAUUAUCACCAGCGUCAUGGAGCUACAUCAAACUGGAGUGCUCUCUAAUGUCCAUAACUUUGUAUCUCUAAGUCUCUGAAGACCCAACCCACACAUCACCGCAGUGGAUCAGAGGCAGGGAUAGGAACAAAUAAGAGAGAACAAUAAUUGGGCACCUACUAUGUGCCAGAAGUCCCAAUAGAGUAGAUACACUACAGUCCUUCACUACUAAAGGGCAAAUAUAAAACUGUCCUGGGUCCCCCCACACACACACUCCCCCUUUUCCUUUGCCAUCAACUGGUUAGACAUGCAAGUAGAGAAAUUCAAGAAUUUGGGAAGUCACUCCUAUUCGUUAAGAUAAGAGAAAUUCAACUUCAGCCGUGCAUGAAGGCUUCUGUGGUGUUCACACAGGAAUCCACAGAAGGAGAAAGAUAAUAGGGCUAGGGGAAAUGGGAGUGGCCUCAGGCCCUGAAGUUCAUCUGGCAUCCCAUCUGUCAAGUCUAACUUGACAUCCAGCCCACCAGUCUGGCUGCCAAUCAAAUCCUCCAAUCAGGCUUCUGGGAGUGAAGUCUUAACUAGGAAGGAUUCCUGUUGCUCUUGCUCUCCACAGGCUCUGAUGACCACCUCCUCCACCUGGGCUGAGGAAAGAGAAAUAGAGAGCAAGUGCUCACCCAAAGAGAAGCAUAAAGCGAUCGUUCACCGGAGAUGAAAGGCCUCACUUCCUGCCGGCGGUGGACAGGGCUGCAUCUGUUUGUCUGCAGCAACUAGAGGAGCCAGUAUCUCAGCAGAACUGGCUCAGAGCACACCCAGUGGACAAAUCUGACAAAUGUCUUUCACCAGCCUUUGUAGAACUUUGUGCAGUGCUUUCUAGAAACAAGCAGAAGCUGUGUCAAGCAUAUAAUCUCCAACUAGUGCUGCCUUCAGGGUCUUUAAGAAGAAACAUGUCCCAGGCAGCCACAGGGGACCAGGCACCAAUGAAGAGGAUUUUGUUAGGAGAACAGAACAAUUGGUCAGGGGCAGUAAUUCCCAGACCAUGGGACACUCCACCCUUCAAACCAAAACCAAUCUAUGAGUAAACUGCCAAGGACUGUCCUUUCACUCAGGAUCCAGCCUUGAAUCAAGACUCUAGUAUUGCCCUCACACCCCCCCCCCCNCCAGCACUGCCCGUGUUCUUCACAAAGGACUGUGAGCGUGGCCCCUGUCAUCAGUUUGCUGGGAGCAUUUUCCAGGCUCUACACAGAGCUGGGCAGAGCCAAGUGUCUUCUCCCUCAUUCAUUCACUCUCUAAACCUUUACAUAACUGAAAAUACAUCAAGUAGUGGGGGCUCUAGAAAGAAAAAUAUGACAAAGCCAGGAGACAGAGUAUGGCUGUAGGGAGUCAGGAAUGUUUUUCCUUUGAGGCGCAAUUUGAUCAGAAACCCAAUGACGUGAGACUCUGCCAGACCCACAUAUAAUGAAAGUCAGGGCUAGGGAAGUAACUCGUUGCUAAAGUAUAUGUUUGGCAUGUGACAAAACUUUAUUAUCAGCCCCGUCCAAACAAAAUAAUAAACAAACAAACAAACAAAUGGUAGUUACAGGGUAGGAGAAGGCCUGGCUGAAUCUGAAGACACACACCUGUAAGCUUUAACCCCAGCACUCAGGGAGCAGAGGCAGGUGGAUUUCUGUGAAUAUGAAGCCCAUCUACUCUACAUAUUGAGUUUCAAGCCAGCCACUGUUACAGGAUUAGAUCAUAUCAAAAACAACAAAACAAAAUAAAACAAAUACCCCAAAAC